rnacentral:rRNA from 1 species
CAGCCGCCGCGGUAAUACGGAGGGCGCGAGCGUUACCCGGAUUUACUGGGCGUAAAGGGCGUGUAGGCGGCCUGGGGCGUCCCAUGUGAAAGGCCACGGCUCAACCGUGGAGGAGCGUGGGAUACGCUCAGGCUAGAGGGUGGGAGAGGGUGGUGGAAUUCCCGGAGUAGCGGUGAAAUGCGCAGAUACCGGGAGGAACGCCGAUGGCGAAGGCAGCCACCUGGUCCACUUCUGACGCUGAGGCGCGAAAGCGUGGGGAGCAAACCGGAUUAGAUACCCCAGUAGUCCCUGUCUCUUAUAC